UUCAUCUGUCCUCUUCUCUUCAAGGCUAAGGAAGGGAGUCAGGAGCAACAGGACGCUGAGAUCAAGCUGCCUGGCUUUACCACACUUCAAUGCAUUGAAGUCUCAAUUGAAGUGUAGAGAAGGCUCAAGGAGCUGCGUUCAUGGCUCAAUUGGUAGAAUGCUUACCUAGCCUGCGUCCCUUCCUCACCAUGGCACAAAACUGAGUGCAGCUCCUCUAUCCUUCCAGAACACAAGACAUGAAGACAGGAGGAUCAGCAAGGACCCAGGAAGAUUGGCCUGGAAGAUGUGACCCACUCCCAUGUCUGAAGCCAUGCUUGCCAACCUGUGUGAAGAUCUGUGAAGUCCUAGUCUGCCUGGCCUGUGAUGAGUGCAUAUCUUCAGUGACAUGAGCAGCCCCUCCUUGGCCAUGAACCACAAGUGGCCCUACCUUUUGGCUAUGUGUCCACUAGAGCCACCUCCUUCCAUCGGAAAAGCAGUGGGGUCACUGGGUUUACAUUUGGCUAGCUGGUGUUGCAAGAAGGAACUGAGGAGACAGACACAGCUCAGCACCAACUCCACCCUUAUCUUGGGGGACCCCUCUAUUCCAAAUACCCCUGUGCUCGGACAGAGAAUACUGUGUGCUUUUGGUUUAUUGUCUUCAAAGAUUAGCACUCAUUGUCAACUCGAUGACACAAUCUAGACUCACCAGGGAAGAGAGUCUAAAUAAGGGAUUGUCUGUUUAGGUUGGGCUAGGGGCCUGUCUGUUGGGGAUUCUCUAAUUACAUUAGCUGAUAUGUGAAGACCCAGCCCGCUGUGGGCAGCACCAUUCCAUAGUUAGGGGUCUUAGACUGUGUAAGAGUAGAAAAAAUGAAGUUGAAGGCGAGCAAGAAACCAGAUGAACAUGUAGGCACCCAUUUCUCUGCUAGUGACUGGAUGUCACAUGACCAGCUCCUAUCUUUACUUCUCCACAACAAUUAAACUCUAACCUGAAAUUGUAA